rnacentral:tRNA from 1 species
GCCGCCUUAGCUCAGUGGUAGAGCACUUCCAUGGUAAGGAAGGGGUCUCGAGUUCAAGUCUCGAAGGCGGCUCCA